AUGGUCGUCCCUGAAGAGCUCACGGCGAUGUCGCUCCCGGACGACAUGGUCUGCGAGAUCCUCGCGCACGUGGGGGACAUGGGCGACCUCUUCCACUGUGCCAGUACGUGCAAGCGGUGGAGCCGCCUUGCGGACGACGUCCGCCGCGGGAGGCUGGAGUGGACGUCCUCGUUCGUUUCUGGCUUUUUCACUAAGAAAGGCAGAGCGAAGCACCUCACCCCGACGCCGGGAUCGGUGUUCGGGCCUGAUCGCCGCUUCCUCGGCUCCUUCUUUCGAGGCGGCACAAGAGACCUCAGUUGCGCAACGCCACUCGCCUCGCGCCACGGUCUCCUUCUGGUGCUUCUCGACUCCUGCGAUGCUCGGGCUCGCUCAAACCAAAUCAUCGUCCACCUGGCUGUGUGCAAUCUGCUCGCCGGCACGUGCGAUGAGCUCCCACCACUCGAGAGCGGCUGGAGGUAUGGCGAGAGUGGCUAUGCCAUCUUUACCGAUGCAGAUUGUUCCUCAAACGAUAAGCAACAAUCUCCAUUGCCAUGGGGCUACUCAACUUUGUACAAAGUUCUAGUCAUCUACAGCAGUGUUAGAGAUGACGAGCCGUGCAUCCUCCACACGUUCUCAUACAGCGAGGGGAGGUGGAACACGCCUACAAAUUUGGUUGAUGAGGAUGUAAAGUUCGAUGGUUGCAGGCUACUCAAGCAUUCCAACGCUGUCGUGUGCCAAGGCACGGCACACUGGCUUAUUGGGUAUUAUCCAAGCCACAGUCACUUGCAUAUUAUUAAUGUAGAUGCUGAGACUUGCCAUGUUUCCCUGAUGAAGAUUAUGAACCCGACCCAUGACAUUUUAUCUGGAACAUAUGAAGAACCACAACUUAUUGUUUCUGCUGACAAGACACUAUCGUUGCUUUACCUGCAAAAGCCAGGCCUCCAGGUAAAAAUAUGCAUGUGGCAAGUUAGUGAGGGGAGUGAGAGUGGCGGUAGAUGGCUAUGCAGCCGAGUCAUCGAGCUAAAAGCACCCAAACAGAUUCGAGCAGAAGAGAUGCAUUUGACCUUUCUGGCAGAGAAGAAUGGCACGUUGCUCGUCAAAGACAACUCCAUGAACCUCUACGCUGCCGAUCUUAGGACAGGGGUCAUGAAGAGUCUCAUGUAUUGCGGUAAGGUUACCUACUGGAAGGUCGUGCCCUUUGAGAUAUAUUGGCCGGUGUGCUAA
rnacentral:rRNA from 1 species